CCUACGGGUGACAGCAGUGAGGAAUAUUGGUCAAUGGGCGGAAGCCUGAACCAGCCAAGUAGCGUGCGGGAUGAAGGCCCUACGGGUCGUAAACCGCUUUUGCACGGGGAUAACACCCUCCCCUUGUGGAGGUCGGCAGGUACCGUGUGAAUAAGGGCAGGCUAAUUCCGUGCCAGCCGCCGCGGUAACCCGGAAAGCCCGAGCGUUAUCCGGAUUCAUUGGGCUUAAAGGGAGCGUAGGCGGGCGUUCAAGUCAGCUGUAAAAUCGCGCGGCUCAACCGCUCCCCGCAGUUGAAACUGGACGCCUUGAGUUCACAACAGGCAGGCGGAAUUCGUGGUGUAGCGGUGAAAUGCAUAGAUAUCACGAGGAACCCCGAUUGCGAAGGCAGCCUGCCGGGGUGCGACUGACGCUGAGGCUCGAAGGUGCGGGUAUCAAACAGGAUUAGAUCCCCUUGUAGUC
rnacentral:rRNA from 1 species